GUAACGAGUUUGGCUCGUAAUUCAAAAUGAUUUAUAGUGGAGUGUGAAUUGGCGCGGAACUGACGAGUGUAGGACAAAAGGGAGGGGGGGUGUCUGGACCCCUCUUCUUAUAUGUCCUUCCCUAAUUCCCACAAAAGGAGAAAAAAAAAAUCGGAAAAAUAUUUCUGUAAAACCGAGAAAGCCUUUAACUGAAAAGGACGUAGAUGUUUGUGCUGUAGCGUAAAUAAGUUACCUCAGUGUCAGUGACUCGUCGCGUGUAAAACACAGUACAUGAUUAAAAGAGUGAAAUAUUCUACUGAAGACGACCCAAGAAUGCAUUUCCUUCAUCUUUAUUAUUAUUCACACGAUCAAAAACAAACAAAAAGAAGAAUUCCAGGGAGAUUAAUGUUUAAAAAAGGACAUGGUGCCGUAUCUGGGCCUCUGCAGCAGAACGACUGGAAAUCCAGGUCACUUCUCUACUGAUGGGUCAAAAAUAGCGUCUCCCAGAGCAGAACUUCACCACAGACCGCUGCUAUAAAACUGUCGACCCAAACUGCCGCUUUAUGGAAGAAUCACAACCGAAGCUCUUAGAAAAACAACUUUUGCGAAACAAUGAAAGACACACCUGAAUUCAUACUUGCAAAAGCUGAAAUCCAGGAAUGCACCUGUCUUGUCUAAUUAUAUCUUCUGUGCAUCUUAGCUGCUUCAGAAUAAAACCAUCAAGG
rnacentral:lncRNA from 1 species